rnacentral:lncRNA from 1 species
GGGCAUUCUCUGCAUCUUCUUCUCCCUCGACCUCUUUCUCUUUGUUGGUGUAAUAAAAAGACGAUUGGGCAUUCUCUGUGCAUUUCUUAUUUUUCUUCUCAUCUUUCUCUGCAUCUUCCUCUCCCUCAACCUCUGUCCAAGUCUGUAAAUCCUGUUAACUGUUAACUUCUUCUUUUGCGGGAGUAAGGCUGCUUCGAGUUCAUUGACUUAAGAGCAAGUACAUCGUUCUUGUUCAGCCAGAGAGAUACCGUUAUCAGCCUUAGUUUCUUCCCUAUGACACCACGGAACUAAACUUUCGACCACGCACGUUUCUGUUUACAUCCAAUUUGAUAUUCCUCAAGUAGCAAUGCAUCCAACAUCAGAACAUGGAAAACACAGUUCCUUUUUUUACCAUAUCUUUCUUCCAGGGGAAAGAACCACUGCCAAGUUCCAACCAAAAAAAAAAAAAAGUGGCAUCAAAUAUUUGAAUGACAUGGCAUGUAAAAUCAAAUAUUUUUCCAUCAUUUCCAGGACCGUUGCUCUCUGUGUAAAAUAUAAAUAAGGGAUAUGCAUGAUAUAAUUGAAUUUCUUGGGUCCCAUUGUUCUUUUACAGUUUCUGGAGAUUUUGAGAGUUUUAGCAGGGUUUGACGACUUUUUAUUUUAUUUUAUUUUUAUCAUUAUAGAAUUAUUCUUUACCCUUUCUAUACAGAAUUUAUAGGUCAAUGAAUUUAUUUAGUUAUUUGUAAAACAUAUAAGAAACGAUAAACAAAGAAAAUUGCCUUUUGUCUCCUUUUCUUUUCCGAUUCCAUCUAUUCAGUCAACACACUGCUGUCUGCUACCUCAGAUCUCUUUUCCUUUUUCUUUACUUAUAUUACUGCUAUAGAAGAGUAGAUACGGAACUCAAAA